rnacentral:rRNA from 1 species
GAUGAACGCUGGCGGCGUGCCUAAUACAUGCAAGUCGAGCGAACAGACGAGGAGCUUGCUCCUCUGACGUUAGCGGCGGACGGGUGAGUAACACGUGGAUAACCUACCUAUAAGACUGGGAUAACUUCGGGAAACCGGAGCUAAUACCGGAUAAUAUAUUGAACCGCAUGGUUCAAUAGUAAAAGACGGUUUUGCUGUCACUUAUAGAUGGUUCCGCGCCGCAUUAGCUAGUUGGUAAGGUAACGGCUUACCAAGGCAACGAUGCGUAGCCGACCUGAGAGGGUGAUCGGCCACACUGGAACUGAGACACGGUCCAGACUCCUACGGGAGGCAGCAGUAGGGAAUCUUCCGCAAUGGGCGAAAGCCUGACGGAGCAACGCCGCGUGAGUGAUGAAGGUCUUCGGAUCGUAAAACUCUGUUAUUAGGGAAGAACAAAUGUGUAAGUAACUAUGCACGUCUUGACGGUACCUAAUCAGAAAGCCACGGCUAACUACGUG